UACGUCCCGGGCCUUGUACACACCGCCCGUCACACCACGAAAGUCGAUUGCAACAGAAGUGGUCUGCAAAGAUCCCGAAGUUGUGGUCGGUGAUUGGGGUG
rnacentral:rRNA from 1 species